UACGAAGGGAGCUAGCGUUGUUCGGAAUCACUGGGCGUAAAGCGCACGUAGGCGGAUGUGUCAGUCAGGGGUGAAAUCCCGGAGCUCAACUUCGGAACUGCCUUUGAUACAGCACGUCUUGAGUCCGAUAGAGGUGGGUGGAAUUCCUAGUGUAGAGGUGAAAUUCGUAGAUAUUAGGAAGAACACCGGUGGCGAAGGCGGUUCUCGUGGGCCUG
rnacentral:rRNA from 1 species